CAGCAGCCACGGGAAUACGUAGGGUGCGAGCGUUAAUCGGGAUUACUGGGCGUAAAGCGUGCGCAGGCGGUUAUAUAAGACAGAUGUGAAAUCCCCGGGCUUAACCUGGGAACUGCAUUUGAAACUGUCAGGCUGGAGUCUUGUAGAGGGGGGUGGAAUUCCAGGUGUAGCGGUGAAAUGCGUAGAGAUCUGGAGGAAUACCGGUGGCGAAGGCGGCCCCCUGGACAAAGACUGACGCUCAGGUGCGAAAGCGUGGGGAGCAAACAGGAUUAGAUACUCCAGUAGUCCCUGUCUCUUAUAC
rnacentral:rRNA from 1 species